CCAAACUAGACAACAUCAUCAGUGCUGAAUGUGUUGCAAGACCUCUGGUUGGAGGUCUGCUGUCUCUUGUUCAUUGCUGUAUGCACUUACCAAGUUUGAUGUUACUCUGCUCCAGGAGUCAUGAAAGGUUUCUAUCACAGUCCAUGUAAAUAAAGAUAUCAAUUCAGCUGGAUUGCAGUGUCAAUUUAAAAUCCCCUUCCUUUUUUCAUUCAGUUGCUGGCCUUUGCGGAAAGCAACCUCUAGUGUGUAAAGUCAACAUCAGAGAAACUAAAGAUGUAGGACAGGCAAUAUCCAGCAACCAGUUUUGCCUGUCCAGAUGUGAAAUACUUUGAAGGGUGUGCUCCUUCUUAAAAUGUGUCAGUGAAACUGCAAAUGUAAGACUACAGUAAUAGAUCAACAAUAAAAGGACAGAUUAAGCAGGCUCUGUGUGUCACAACAUAUUUGGACAUCCGCUGUUCUACAUGAUUAGGUAACCCAGUUGAUUUAUCAGGCAAUUAUUAGAAGCAGGAUUACUUGGAUGAAAAGGGCUAAGCAUGCAGAGGAAAUCCCUUUACAAAUCACAGAGAGAAUGCCAUGUUAACAUUCCCACCUGCAUAUAUAUCUUUCCUCACAAAAGCAUUUGGAACGAUCAGCCCUUCAUCUACUGUAGGAAUUAUGCCCCUUUUAUUAUUUACCUUGGAAUUUAGCCAUGUGAAACUGUGACAUAAUUAGAUUUUAGCCCAUAAGAUGCAGGACUGCAAAGAGGUGAGAAGAAAAGUAAAUUUCAGCACUUGGACUCUGUUACUUGAUGACAAGAAAAAUACAGCAGUCGCUUCAUUUAUUCACAUACUUAAUUAUUUAUGCUUUGCCUUAUUUCCUGAUUUAGCUGUUUUUGAUGUAGCCCAUGACAUUGUCUGAGCUUUACUUAUUUUUUUAAUACAUCUUAAAAAAGAAAAUUUCCUGCUAAUGUUGUAUAUAAACAAAUUUCUGAUGAUUCCUAGUGACUUUAAAGAAAUCUGAUGAGAUUUCUUCUAGUAUUUUCUGGCAAUUAUAUUAUUUUGAAAAUACAUAUUGGUCAAUAUCUUAUCUGCUUUGGAAAUUUCUUAGAUCCAUAUCAGUUUGAGCAAUCUAGUUCUCUUGAUCUUCCCUUUUCCCAUUUUUGAAGAUUUUGUUUGGCAUUUUAUUCAUUGUCCAGGAUCAAAAUGUAUAAAGUUCAACCAGAUAUUCAGCAAGUUCCUUCAAUAUUCUGUAAUUCAGCUGGAUCUGGGCUCUUCACUAAUUAAAAAUACAAGCCAUAUAAUGGUAGCCAACAUUGAAUUUUGCAUAAAUUAAAGUUAUUCUAAAAACAGAAUAGUAGGAAAUCAUUAAGUUUCUAAUGCAUACAUCAAGGAAUUUAAACAACUAUCUUAAACACCAAGAAAUCUAGCUAUGGUAAUAAUUUCUAUCAACAUCUCUACAUAAUAAAUCAGAAUUUCCAAGUGACACAUAUGAGUAGAAUCAUUUAUUGCAAAUCUUAAGAAUAGCACAAACCUAAACCAAAUAUGUCAAAAAAGAAUAUGAAAAUAUUAUUUAUUAAAAUAAUGUAAUACUUGAUUUUAGUGAUUUGUUUUGCAAAAUAAAAAGAUCCAAAUAAAUUGCACAUAAAUUAAUUUUUUAAAAAAUAUAGAUGUUAUACAUAAUGUUUAAUUACAGCAGGACAGUGAUUCCAGUUAAAUAAAAUUAAAACCUUUAUCUUUCUCAGGUAUAAAAUUAUUCAUGUCUUUAAGCAACACAGCAAAAGCCUUAAAUUACAUCACCAUUUCCACAGUAGUCAUCACCACUUUUAUAUUCCACCACUUUGGCAAAAUUAGGUAUUUUUUUUUAACAGUGCAUAAUGUUACAGAAAGUGUAUACAACUUCAUAUUGCACUUUAUAUAUACAAAUAAAAUGUAAAAGAAAAUAGAGCAUUUACUUGGAAUGAACAUGAAUCCAUCACAACUGUAAAAGGAUGAAAGUGAGUAUGAAUAUUAAAAAUAUUUAAAAUGCAAUACAUUUAUAUAGAUCUUAUAAGCUGUAUUAACAAACUUUUACAUUUAUCGUUUAAGAUAAUAUCAUAUAGUCACCAUUGAUUGGAAGUAAAUACUUGAUUCAUUUUAAGCUUAUAAGCUCUCCAAAAUGCCAGUAAGUUAUAAAAUAGAGCACAACUGUUAGUCGACAU